AUUUUGGACAAUGGGGGAAACCCUGAUCCAGCCAUCCCGCGUGUGCGAUGAAGGCCUUCGGGUUGUAAAGCACUUUUGGCAGGGAAGAAAAGGCACGGGCUAAUACCCUGUGCCGCUGACGGUACCUGCAGAAUAAGCACCGGCUAACUACGUGCCAGCAGCCGCGGUAAUACGUAGGGUGCAAGCGUUAAUCGGAAUUACUGGGCGUAAAGCGUGCGUCGGCGGUUUGGCAAGAAAGGUGUGAAAUCCCAGAGCUUAACUUUGGAACUGCACUUUUAACUGCCAGGCUAGAGUAUGUCAGAGGGGGGUAGAAUUCCGCGUGUAGCAGUGAAAUGCGUAGAGAUGCGGAGGAAUACCGAUGGCGAAGGCAGCCCCCUGGGAUAAUACUGACGCUCAGGCACGAAAGCGUGGGGAGCAAACAGG
rnacentral:rRNA from 1 species